GUAGUAGUAGUAGUAGUAGUAGUAGUAGUAGUAGUGGCCAAGUGUAUUUGUCAACGGUGUAAUUUUUCCUAUUUGUCAAUAUUCUCUGCACGACGAGGGAAUGACAACGCGGAGUGUGGCAUGAGUGGGAGGAGGAGGAGGAGGAGGACAAGGACGAAGGCUGAUGAGGUGGAGAUAGCCCGCUGAUGAAACAAGUUGCCCAAUAAAUAAUUCCCGCAUCAAUACAUUACCAAACAAUCACCCCACGACUGCCCAGCCCUCCUGUCCUUCCUUCCCCCCGCUCUGCCUCUCCUUCUAAAGCUCCUAUUAUCAAAUGUAUCGGAGCCUCACUUCCCCUGUUUGAAAACCCUCUAUUAGAAGUUGCAUGGAUUCUUAUGGACUGUUAAGUGAUGCUAGCGAUAUUUUUACCCGACUUCUGCAUCUUGAAACGGGAAAAUCACCUAUGAGAACCCGGUUAAUCUUCUCUGUGGCCUUGGGUAUAGUCGUAAUAGGAGAGGGGUGUAUAGGUUCACUAAUAUGGAUCUAACCCUCUUCGUCUUGUUGCUUUACCUUGAGUAUAUAAAAAAAUUAAUAGUCGUAAUAGGAGCCUGGUAUAUACGUUCAAUAAUAUGGAUCUAACCCUCUUCCUCUCGCUACUUUACCCUUGAUUAUAAAAAGAAAAAAAACAGGUCGAUGUGCGAACGGUAUAUCAGAAAGGUGGAAUGGAUCAAGUGGAUUAGUAUGUGGAUGAGGUGGAGAUUCAAGGUAAGGGCAGAGUUGGGGUUCUAAAAAAAAAAAAAAAAAGUAGGUGAAUGAACUGGAUGAUAUAUUAGUAAAGCGAAAGAAUGGAUCACGUGGAUGAGUAAGUGGAUGAGGUGGAGAUUCAAGGUAAGGGUAGAGUUGGGGUCCUA